rnacentral:sRNA from 1 species
UCAUGUACAAGCUCCAUGUCCGCAGUGA